AUCCAGACUCCUACGGGAGGCAGCAGUGAGGAAUAUUGGUCAAUGGCCGCAGGGCUGAACCAGCCAAGUCGCGUGAGGGAUGACGGCCCUACGGGUUGUAAACCUCUUUUGUCGGGGAGCAAAGCGAACCACGUGUGGUUCAUUGAGAGUACCCGAAGAAAAAGCAUCGGCUAACUCCGUGCCAGCAGCCGCGGUAAUACGGAGGAUGCGAGCGUUAUCCGGAUUUAUUGGGUUUAAAGGGUGCGUAGGCGGGCUGUUAAGUCGGGGGUCAAAUGUCGGGGCUCAACCCCGGCCUGCCGUUGAAACUGGCGGCCUCGAGUGGGCGAGAAGUAUGCGGAAUGCGUGGUGUAGCGGUGAAAUGCAUAGAUAUCGCGCAGAACUCCGAUUGCGAAGGCAGCAUGCCGGCUCCACACUGACGCUGAGGCACGAAAGCGUGGGUAUCGAACAGGAUUAGAUACCCGCGUAG
rnacentral:rRNA from 1 species